ACUGAGAUUUUGAGGCCUCAGGAUUGUUUGAUUGAACGGACCAGAGUUUCUUCUUGUCGCCGGAGAAAUUUUUAUGGCAACUCUUAUACUAACCCCAAGUACUAUGACUCUAACCCUAGACUUAACAGGAAACCAGCUGUGCGGUCUGAGAGGACUGACCCGAGAAAGCGCCACUCAGAGCCUGCCUUGAUAUCGAAGAGGUCGAAUUCGGUUGAUGAUUUGAAGAUCUCCAAAAACCAUUACCAUGGCCACAAAGCCAACAACAGCAACGAUCUUCUUAUGGAGAAGGUGACCAUUUUGCGACGAGGGGAGUCGCUAGACUCUAAGAUCCGGAGCAGUGAAACGGCCGCAGCAUCGAAGAAGUAUCAAGCCGGUGAUAUGGUUGUCACUGGUACGGAUCGAUUGGGUCCGGACCCAGAAAUGGUACCGAAGCAGAUCCGAAUCGUUGACCUGAGGUCUCCGGUGGCCGGGAAGUGCGAUGUGUAUGCGGGCUCAGCUUUUGCAGUAUCGCCAGCACCGAGCUCGCUCCCGUUGCCGUCUUUCUAUAAGAAAAAGCAAGUCACUUUUGAUGACUCAGCUACCAGAGACCUCAGGCGUUUACUUCGACUCGACGUUUAAGAUCCGACUAUAAAAUGGGUCAGGAUCCAUCUGGAUAAGUUAUCACUAUUUAUACCUCUCGUCGGUUUCGUCUCUGUUACAUCCGUCUGGUUUUCAACAGUCGGAUCCUCCCGUGAGAUUUUUU
rnacentral:misc_RNA from 1 species